GUAAUGGUGUCUUUAGACACCACCUAUUUUAUUUUAGGGUUAUUU
rfam:Picea glauca, whole genome shotgun sequence.